rnacentral:rRNA from 1 species
UACAGAGGUCCCAAGCGUUUGUUCGGAUUCACUGGGCGUAAAGGGUGCGUAGGUGGCGAAGUAAGUCGGAUGUGAAAUCUCCGAGCUCAACUCGGAAACUGCAUUGGAAACUACUUUGCUUGAGGGUCGGAGGGGGGACUGGAAUUCUCGGUGUAGCAGUGAAAUGCGUAGAUAUCGAGAGGAACACCAGUGGCGAAGGCGAGUCCCUGGACGACUCCUGACACUGAGGCACGAAAGCUAGGGGAGCAAACAGG